rnacentral:rRNA from 1 species
GUUCGCCUACGGGGGGCAGCAGUGGGGAAUAUUGGACAAUGGGGGGAACCCUGAUCCAGCGACGCCGCGUGAGUGAAGAAGUAUUUCGGUAUGUAAAGCUCUAUCAGCAGGGAAGAAAAUGACGGUACCUGACUAAGAAGCCCCGGCUAACUACGUGCCAGCAGCCGCGGUAAUACGUAGGGGGCAAGCGUUAUCCGGAUUUACUGGGUGUAAAGGGAGCGUAGACGGCGCG